GUUCUGUGCACUUUGUUAAUCCCCUUUCUUUGAGUAUCAAAUUCUACUGAUGUAUUUAGUGUCUCUCUAAUAUUUGCUAAUUUAUUUUAUUCUUCAGUUUCUAUUAGUAUGCUCGAUUUACUUUACAAAUUGAUAGAUCUGGAAGAAUUAAAUAUUACAUAAUUAAAUUACUAAAACAGUUAAAUUUGCAUUGCAUAUGUCAAAACAAGAGGUUUAGAAGACAAAAGGACUCAGUUAUAUUUUCAGGAAUAUUUCCAUGAUUUAGUAAGAUAUUGAAAAUAACCAUGGUAUUAAAUAUGAGGAGAUACAAACGAGAUUCGAAACAAACAUUUAUUGUAAAAUGGAUAAUUUGUAGUAGACUUAAUUAUGUUGUUUUCAAGAGCUGUCUGUGGACUAUGAGUGAGGACCUUUUCAGCACCUUAGUCAAGGAGUGGGAAAGUUUGGUAUUUGAAACUUAUGGUGGCUCUCCUGCUAUUAAGAUGCCCCAAAUACAUGUGAACACCCCUCAGCUCUGCUCAAAAAGUUCCCUCAGAGCUCUGGACAUGGAGUGACCCACUGCAGCCAUACUCCCUCAGAAAUGGUGGUAAUCUGCCAACAUGCCAAUCAACCUGUUGACUGCAAGACAUCACCAAGCAAGACUCUGUCCUGAAACCUUAUCCCUGCCUUUGAUAUACCUCUUAAAUAAAUCACCAGAGCCAUUUUUUUUUUUUUUUUUUUAAUUUUU
rnacentral:lncRNA from 1 species